UGAGUAAAUCAGAUAGUUGCGGCAUCCUCUUGGAUGACGAGGAAAGUCCGAGCUCCAGAGGGCAGGAUGCUGGGUAAUCCCCAGUGGAGGCGACUCCAAGGACAGUGCAACAGAGAAAUACCGCCCAGCACCUAAUAUAAAAAAACUACUUUCAGAUGUCUGCAGGCAUUUUUAUGUUAGGUGCUGGGUAAGGGUGGAAAGGUGAGGUAAGAGCUCACCAGCAGCCUGGCGACUGGCUGGCUAUGUAAACCCCAUCCGGAGCAAGACCAAGUAGGGAUAAAGCAGCGGCUGCCCGUCGUAUCCCGUGGUAGGUUGCUUGAGCCUGCUGGCAACAGCUGGCCUAGAUAGAUGACUAUCGAAUACAGAACUCGGCUUACAGGUUUAACUCGCUCA
rnacentral:RNase_P_RNA from 1 species